CGCUGACCAUUUGUUUCUCUGUCUCAGCGAAAGAGUUUACCAUGUCGGCAAUACUCUGGGUGACUGACAGAGCAUAAGACAUGGCCAGCCCAACAAGCCCUGAAAGAUGGAGGUUACCUGGAUCAACUGUGUGGAAAUGAUGUUCGAGCACAGCAAGGAAUGCCACGCCCGCGUUGAUGGCGACACCAAUGCCCUGUAGACGCAGCACCAGCCACACAUACACCACCAUCUCUAUAUAGGGCAAUUACAAAGAAUUGAUAGCCACACAUACGCCACCAUCUCUAUAUAGGCAAUUACAACGAAUUGAUAGCCACACAUACGCCACCAUCUAUAUAUAGGGCAAUCACAAGGAAUUGAUAGCCACACAUACGCCACCAUCUCUAUACAAAGCAAAAACAAAGAAUUGAUAGCCACACAUAAGCCACCAUCUCUAUAUAGGGCAAUUACAAAGAAUUGAUAGCCACACAUACGCCACCAUCUAUAUACAAAGCAAAAACAAAGAAUUGAUAGCCACACAUAAGCCACCAUCUCUAUAUAGGGCAAUCACAAGGAAUUGAUAGCCACACAUACGCCACCAUCUCUAUAUAGGGAAAUCACAAAGAAUUGAUAGCCACAAAUACGCCACCAUCUCUAUACAGAGCAAUAACAAAGAACUGAUAGCCACACAUACGCCACCGACUCUAUACAGAGCAAUAACAAACUAAUAGCCACACCUAUUUCACCAUCUCUAUACAGAGCAAUAACAAAAAUUGAUAGCCACACAACUUCUAUCAUCUCUAUGAUAGCCAAACUGAUCCCAAUUUUUUUUUAAAACAUUUACGGUGAUAGACACACAUAUCCCCCCCCCCCCCCCCAUCGGCAACCCAUCUGCUCUUCACCUACCACAGUAAUUAGCUCGUUGGUUCACCUCCAAGCGCUCUUCAUUCUCAGUGCGAAAUCUUUGGGUGUGGCGCAGAGCACGAAUGGUACUUAGCCCUGUUAGGGUCUCGGAGAAGUGCGCGUAUAUGGGAGACUCGGUGACGGUAAUAAUACGCUUUAACUCUCUACAAGCAACAGAAAGAGAGGUAAGAACAAUCAGCUACACACAAGUAGGCAAGAAAGAUGGCAUGCUUCGACAAAGAGAAAACAUGGGGUGAAAACAUGACAACACAAUACUUCAAAUACCCAGACAUGAAAAAGAACGAAAUAGGACAUGAAAAUUCAAUGUCCGUCUAAACAGAUAUAACAACUGUUGCCCUUUGGGACAACACCUCGCCCAAUGUUGCCUUUAAAAUUCCUGAAUCCUGCACGUGAUGACACGUGCCUUUCUCACAAGCAAUCCGUAGUUAGUCACCUGGAGGUCUUCCUAUAGUAACCCUGUAGAUAAUAGUAGAUGAUCAUGAGAGGCGCCACCAACAGCGCCAUCCAGGGAAGCCCAUAACACGUGAUCACCAUAGAAGCUACUACAAAGUACGCCUGGGCCAGGAAAAUGUUGAGCAUGAAGGGCAGGCUGUCAUCAAUGGAGUACUACAAACGGGAGAAAGGUUAAAGGUUAGAGGUAUUAGAUUAAGAGAAGAACAGGAAGUCGUGUUGUUUGUGAAAAUGAUAUUUAUAAAGAUGAUAGCACAACUACUGAUGAGGAAGAGAGGGAGAUGAUGAGGACAAUGCGUAGGUGACACCAUUACACUGUCAGCACAAUCCAAAGUAUUAAUACAACUGAUGAAUAAUGGUGAUAAUAUAGGGCCUUGUGCAAACCGCUCCAGCUGCUCUUGCAAAAACAAUAAGCACCAUUGGCCAGGUUUGUGAACAUGUUGGAGGAUAGUAGGGCCCUGUGCAAACCGCUCCAGCUGCUCUUGCAAAAACAAUAAGCACCAUUGGCCAGGUUUGUGAACAUGUUGGAGGAUAGUAGUUUGCAAACAUUUCCUAUGUCUUGCAGUCAGCCAAUAAGAUGGUCACAAACAUUCUUUUUAUCUUGUAGUCAUCUAAUGAAAUGGUCGCAAAUAUUUCCCUUGUCUUGUAGUCAGCCAAUGAGAUGGUCGAAAACAUCCCCUUUAUCUUGCAGUCAGCCAAUGAGAUGGUCGCAAAGAUUUCCCGUCUUGGAGUCAGCCAAUUAGAUGGUCGCAAACAUCCCCUUUAUCUUGCAGUCAGCCAAUGAGAUGGUCGCAAAGUUUUUCCGUCUUGGAGUCAGCCAAUGAGAUGGUCGCAAACAUCCCCUUUAUCUUGGAGUCAGCCAAUGAGAUGGUCGCAAACAUUCCCAGGUCCUGUGUGCACUGGGCUGGGGCUCAGCAUGCAGUAAAUCAGCAUGACCAUCAAGUCAAAAUGAGGUUGUACCACAGCAUGACCAUCAAGUCAAAAUGAGGUUGUACCACAGCAUGACCAUCAAGUCAAAAUGAGGUUGUACCACAGCAUGACCAUCAAGUCAAAAUGAGGUUGUACCACCGGAUGACCAUCAAGUCAAAAUUGGGUUUUAUCACAGGAUAAUCACCAAGUCAAAAUAUGGUUUACCACAGGCUGACCAUCAAGUUCAAGGUGUCCAUCGGUGUCGGCAAGCCCCCUGGGGACCCAUGGAAAAGAUAUUAUGCAAGCAUUGUUAUUAAAACUGCAUGUAUGCACGCCUCCUGUUGCGGUGGCUUGUAACGCCAGCUAAAGUGCCCAUCAACAAUCUGGACAGCAUCACCAGCUGAACGAAAAACGAAACAAUAUGACAGGUUUUCUAAAUCACACCUUUGCAGCUGUGAGCUGGUUUCCCAUCAGAACGUAUGUCGUGAAGGUAAGGA